UUAAGUUCAGCGGGUAUCCCUACCUGAUCCGAGGUCAACCUUAUAGACUGGGGGUUCUGGCAAGCACUCGCCUGGACUCCGGAGCGAGAGAAAUUACUACGCUUGAAGCCAGACGGCACCGCCACUGUUUUUGAGGCGCACCGGAGUGGUGACGCCCAAUACCAAGCAGAGCUUGAGGGUUGUAAUGACGCUCGAACAGG
rnacentral:misc_RNA from 1 species